UACGUAGGGCGCAAGCGUUGUCCGGAAUUAUUGGGCGUAAAGAGCUCGUAGGCGGUCUGUUGCGUCCGCUGUGAAAACCCAGGGCUUAACCCUGGGCUUGCAGUGGAUACGGGCAGACUAGAGGCAGGUAGGGGAGAAUGGAAUUCCUGGUGUAGCGGUGGAAUGCGCAGAUAUCAGGAGGAACACCGGUGGCGAAGGCGGGUCUCUGGGCCGUUACUGACGCUGAGGAGCGAAAGCGUGGGGAGCGAACAGG
rnacentral:rRNA from 1 species